rnacentral:lncRNA from 1 species
CUUUUGGAUUUUAUGUCAUUCCAUCAGUUUCUUUCCCCUAUUGGAUCUCCCAAGGGAACUCCUUUUGGAUUUUAUGUCAUUCCAUCAGUUUCUUUCCCCCUAUUUGAGCUCACAGGCGCACUACUUCUGGAUUUUAUGUCAUUCCAUCAGUUUCUUUCCCCUAUUGGAUCUCCCAGGGGCACUCUGUUUGGAUUUUAUGUCAUUCCAUCAGUUUCUUUCCCCUAUUGGAGCUCCCAAGCACACUUCUUUUGGAUUUUCAUGAUGUCAUUCCAUUAGUUUCUUUCCCCUAGAGGAGAUCACAGGGGCACUCCUUUUGGAUUUUAUGUCAUUCUAUCAGUUCCUUCCCCCUACUGGAGCCCCCAAGCACACUCCUUUUGGAUAUUAUGUUAUUCAGUCAGGUUCUUUCCCAUUGAUGUUUGUGAUGUUAACAUCAGUCAACUACUGUUGCACUGUUAUCAUCAACUUGAUUCUCAACUUCAAAGGUGAAGGCCAUUUAAAGACAAAGUUUAAGGAAAUGUUGUUGUUCUUUUUGUUUAAGUUCAUCUGUGAAUGUCCUUUGUAUAAUCUUGUUAUUAUUGUUUCUUAAUA